UACGUAGGGGGCAAGCGUUGUCCGGAAUCAUUGGGCGUAAAGAGCGUGUAGGCGGCUUGGUAAGUCCGCUGUGAAAGCCCAGGGCUCAACCCUGGAAUGCCGGUGGAAACUGUCAAGCUUGAGUCCGGAAGAGGCGAGUGGAAUUCCUGGUGUAGCGGUGAAAUGCGCAGAUAUCAGGAGGAACACCAAUGGCGAAGGCAGCUCGCUGGGACGGUACUGACGCUGAGACGCGAAAGCGUGGGGAGCAAACAGG
rnacentral:rRNA from 1 species